rnacentral:rRNA from 1 species
UACGGAGGGUGCAAGCGUUGUCCGGAUUUAUUGGGUUUAAAGGGUGCGUAGGCGGCCUAAUAAGUCAGUGGUGAAAGCCUCCAGCUUAACUGGAGAACUGCCAUUGAUACUGUUAGGCUUGAGUAUACUUGAGGUAGGCGGAAUUGACAGUGUAGCGGUGAAAUGCAUAGAUAUUGUCAAGAACACCAAUUGCGAAGGCAGCUUACUAAUUAUAACUGACGCUGAGGCACGAAGUGUGGUAUCAACAGG